rnacentral:rRNA from 1 species
AGCAGCCGCGGUAAUUCCAGCUCCAAUAGCGUAUAUUAAAGUUGCUGCAGUUAAAAAGCUCGUAGUUGAAUUUCGGGACUAAUAUGUCGGUCGUGCCUCGGUACGUACUGGUAUUUUUGGUUUCUCCCUUCUGACGAACCUUGAUGUCAUUAAUUUGGUGUCUUGGGGAAUCAGGACUGUUACCUUGAAAAAAUUAGAGUGUUUAAAGCAGGCUCACGCUUGAAUACAUUAGCAUGGAAUAAUGAAAUAGGACGUUUGAUUCUAUUUUGUUGGUUUCUAGGAUCGACGUAAUGAUUAAUAGGGAUAGUUGGGGGCAUUAGUAUUCAAUUGUCAGAGGUGAAAUUCUUGGAUUUAUUGAAGACUAACUACUGCGAAAGCAUUUGCCAAGGAUGUUUUCAUUAAUCAAGAACGAAAGUUAGGGGAUCGAAGACGAUCAGAUACCGUCGUAGUCUUAACCAUAAACUAUGCCGACUAGGGAUCGNANGAUGUUAAUUUUUUAAUGACUCA